UACGAAGGGGGCUAGCGUUGCUCGGAAUCACUGGGCGUAAAGCGCACGUAGGCGGAUUGCUAAGUCAGGGGUGAAAUCCUGGAGCUCAACUCCAGAACUGCCUUUGAUACUGGCGAUCUCGAGUCCGGGAGAGGUGAGUGGAACUGCGAGUGUAGAGGUGAAAUUCGUAGAUAUUCGGAAGAACACCAGUGGCGAAGGCGACUUACUGGACGAUUGUUGACGCUGAGGUGCGAAAGCGUGGGGAGCAAACAGG
rnacentral:rRNA from 1 species